CGUCGACGCGAACAGUGACGAAUUGGACCGCGACUCGCGUGAUUCUGACCCGAGAACCGCGUCCGCGUCCGGUUCGACGUAGAACUCGCGACAAACAAUUGGUGUCGCCGCGAAAUUAGCGAGAGAUCGCGAGAAACGUCGGAACCUGGCAUUCUGAAUAUCAGAGAAAAAACACCGGACGAUAUAGUUCGACGAUCGAACGUGCGUCAAGAUCGUUGAUUGAUCAACGACGCCCGGUUUAACGGCAACACGUUGGCCGAUCGAUAUUGUAAAUGAAUGUAACUCGUAGCCGUCGAUUGUUUAUUUAUGCGGAAUAUUUCGAAGCGGUGAUAACGCGGCCGUUCGAGCUGGUAUUUGCAUUUGUAUUGCUUGAUUACCUGAGAAUUCAAUUUCUGCGACGCAGUUUUAGGAAUAAUCGAAGCAAGAAAUCGCGCUCGUUCGACGAGCCGCUCGGACCGUGUAAAUUUUCAUACAUCGGUGACCGUUCACCGGAUCCACUCUGGGAAGAACGAUCGCGAGAUUAUCGCGAGUGCGCAUCGAAUCGAGGAUCGCUUCUGUAUCUGUAUCGAAACGAGUGUAUCGAUGGAAUUUGCGUUAAUAGGAAAACAUGUAAUCCGUAUGGAGGCGGACGUCGGCCCGCCGAUACGUUCUCAUAAGUGGGACCCAGCCGAAUUCUGCAUAAUUUUACGAGACUUCUGCUCGCGAUCCGGCAGAGUUUAUAGGGCGAUCUUCUCGAGCAUAAUCCGCACAAACGAGCCGGUUAAGUGGAGUAUAAACUGUUAAUGAAGCCAGUAUCAUCAUCCACGUGGAACGCCACGAUGUGUUUGCCGAAACAGUUCGAAAAUUUAGACCGUGCCUGCUAAAAGACACUAAUUGUAGGCGCAGCCGAUAAUAGUUAGUAUCUGUGGCCUAAUCACCGCUUCGAUGUGAACGACGAUCGAUUCGACAAAUCCCGAUUUACAUCGACUCGCCGUUGUCCUUGUCACUUUUGCCCUAUGCUGGUUAAUCGGUUAAUCGGUUAUAGCUGGUUAAUCGGCUAAUAAUUUUUUUCGCUCGACAAUCGGACAUGGGAAAAGAUUUUACGAUUAUUCACGACCUGGGGCAAAAAGGUAAACGUGCUAGCUAUUUCCUGGUUUCCGUCGCUUUGCGUGAUGAAAUUGCACGGAAAAAGAACCGAGAAGAAAAGAGGCAAGAGAAUGGAUCAAAGAGACCGCAAAGCAGUGCACACGCCAAUUCGGCUCCCAAUAGAGUACAGAUUGACGAGAAUAAUUUCGCUAGAUUCGUCAGUUUGACGGCGGUGUGGCGAUGAAUAGUAAUGCGUGGAUUAGAUGCGCUUCCAGUUUAAUAAUCAAAUUUUAUCAGUACUCUGGGGAACGAGAAUUCGGAAACCUGCCUUCGUUCGAAUUAGAAAAAGCACGAAUCGGAAUUAGACACGCUCGAUGUUAGGAAAACCACGAAAAUCAAGGAAAACAAUGAACGAUGAAUUCGUUGUAACUUUCUGUCACGUAAUUUUACAUAGAACAUCGCCUGCUUGACGAUAACACAAUUGUGCACAGAUUAUUUUGUCAAAUAUAAAUACCUACGUAUAGCAAGUACAUGGAUGUGUACAAGCUAGCAACAUUCGAUAAACAAAUACAAUAACGAUAAAAGCAUCGAAUAUGCGACUAUUGAUAGAACAAAACGGAAUUUCUACAUGGUAGUCUAUCGAAUGUAAACACCUCCACAUAGAGAAGGAACGAAUAACAUUCGACAAAGGAUUAUAACAGCAACAAUAGAAUGGAGGAUCAGGAUAGUGCACAGGUCCCUAGCUCGCUCUUGAACCGGGCCAUUCAGCGAGGCCGCCCUUUCGCCAGAUUCCUCUUCCCGGGGGCGGAACCAGGGAGAACCGGAAGUGCCCGGAUAUGAGUUUCCGGCGCGGACAAUUUGCAGCGCAAAAUUGAAUGAUCGACUCCGAUAAUCGUCGUUGCUCGUGCCUACCUAUGUAGCUCUGCCACGCUCCAAAUUCCAAAGCGGCGGCGUUGUCGCCAGCAGUCGACGAUCGGCUGCCUACCGCCAUUACGUCGAUUCGUUAUCGUCAUUACCGGGGUUCCGAACGAGGCUCGUCGAAGCUUGGAGACGGUUCAACCCUAGCCAGCCUGAUCCGCCAUUUUUCGGCUAGUCACUUGCCAACGUUUUCACACUCGAAACUACACCGUAUUUUUCUCCUCCGCUUCAUUUUCUUUGUUUAAUUAACUCUGCAAAUUGUACGUGCAUUCGCGUAUUUUCGCUAAAUAUGUGAGCAACCAGCGUGUUCCUGGAAGUUCCUAAUUCUCGAAACGAAUAGUUUUCAGUUGAGGAUGAAGCCUCUUUCCGAAAACCGCUAAGUGAAACACGAAACGGUCGAGACUAACGAUAAUAACCUGUUACUUUGUGCAACCGCGUGCACGGUCGAACACACGCGACCAGAAUGGCAAAGAGAAAGAGCACGGUCACAGGUGAACUCCAUUUGCCGCACCGACGGAAACGCUGAUACGGCAUAAACUGUUUCGACGGCUACGAAAUAAAGGUGUCCCUGCCGCUGCUGGUUUGGUGGGAAGGGAAAUAGGCGCGAGAUUGAUUCGAAUUGCCAAAACGGUCCGGUGACUGCGACAAGGCGGUAGCCAUUUUUGAACAGCGAACCUUCGCUAUAAGCUCGACCGCAAAUGGCUAUUUACCUCUUCUGGCCCGCUCGUUGACGUUCGUGUCCCUGUUCCACUCAUCGGCCAUCCAGUUACUCGUUCCAACCCCGCUUUCGUCCGCCCCGCGUCCCAUCCUUGCUCUGUCGCCCUGUUUUCAACCCUCCAACCCCCCCGUAGCCUCGGUCUCACCCCUAUCUCUUGGCGCACUGUGCCUGUACAGCCACUGGUUCGCUCGACAAUGUCUAUUGGAAGAUUUAUUCCAAUAUUUUCAAUUAAAGUUAGACAAAGCCGUGUUUGAUAACGCCUGCGUGUUUCGCCGCUCUAGUUGCGAAGGUAAAAAUAAUGUAGUACGCGCGAAUGAUCAGGAGUGGUUUUCAGCGGUGUCGCUUCACAGGGGAGGGACGUUUCAGGCAGUGGGCUCGAUGUGUGUAGAAAACAUCAAGUAUGGAAGAAUGAACCGCCAUCGCGAACGCUAAACAAAGUUCGGUUUACACCGAAUAUGAAAUUUUCGCGGAGGACGGGUUACUUUUCUUUUAAACAGAGCGAUUUUAAGUUUCCUGAUGGACGGAGUAUUCGGUGCUUUGUUUCGAAACAAAUGAUAGUUUCGCGUUGAAAGUUCGACUGAAUGAUUUUCUUUCUAUGAAAAUAAUGAUAAAGUUUUUAAGAAGUUAAUAGCGAAUAUCGUUCGAAUCUUUGAACGACCGUAAAAUCGAUAGUCCACGAUUAUCUAAAGGGUGCAAUUAAACGGUUGGGCGACAGGGAUGACAGUGAAAUUAUCAUUACGCAAGCUAAACGACUGGAUAUCGUAAUUAGCAGCGUCGCAUUACAUUGAUAAUUGAUUGCAUAACGACUAUUCGAGUUACUUAUAACAAGCUGAAAUGGAAGUUCUGCCUUUCUGUUCUUCGAAAAUCAUGGAAGCAAAAAAAAAUGGAAAUCGUUCAAUUUCUCUUGUUUUCUCUUCUCUUUGGAAGAGAAAAUGGCUCGUGGAAAUCUUCGCAAUCCUCUCAUUUACUUUCUUAUGUAUCUAAAUUUACGAAAGAGAACGAUGGUCUUUUAUUGUACGUGGCGAAUGAUAAUUGGAUGCCCAGUGGAAUACCCGCAAAUGUCACGUGGUUGUCAUGAGAGCUGUCAUUGCCUUCUGUUGGCAUACAUGUGCGUGUGUGUGUGUGUGUGUGUAUGUGUGUGAGAGAGAAAACGGGAGAUCGACGAGAGAGAGAGAGAGUAGGAGGAGGAGAGGUAUGCACGUAUCGGGCGGCACACUGAUUCGCUCGGACAGUUCGAUCACUGGCUCGUAUACUUGCGACAAGUCCGGAACACGUAGCCUCGGGGAACGGCGGUUGAAGGCGGUGAAAAUGGAAUUUGAGUGGCAUCCGGGGGAUCGUGUCUGUAUUUAUGAUUUGAUAUCAACUUUCCUUUCUGACUCGACGUUGCCGUGUUCCCAGUUUUGCGUCACUGCGCCAAGCUUCGUGAAAUUUUACCCCAAAUUAUAGGUUUAUAGAAUUAGAGAUCUAUCAGUUGGCAACUGUUUAGAAGAGGGAACCGUCGCGAGCCUCACGAAUUCAUAUAAAUGCAAUAAUUCACUGAUUAAUUAUACGAGCAAUCCGACACAGAAAUGGAAACACAUAAUUUUCGUUUUCUUUUCGUCGUAAUCAGAAAUUUAAUCAUCGUCAAGUAAAAAGUGUCAAAGAGAAAAGAGUGGCUAGUGCGAGGAAAAGAUUCGCGGGGUUUGCAAAGGUUGAAGAUGCACGCACGCAUUGGCGACAGGUCGAAAAUCGAUUCUUGGUUGAAUAUGUACAACGCGGAGGGUAGGAUGACCCCUGGUAAUGCGAAAUAUAGUGCACAGGCGGAGCGAGAGAAGGGAAGUAGGACGUCUGACGUCGAGGGGAGGCUGAUGAGGAUGAGGAUGUUAAAAAGAAAAGGAAAAGCUGGGAGGCACCGAGUAUUCGAAGAACAGAAAUGGUCUGACGAAGUAAUAGGCUCGCCAUGGCGUGCCCAGGUAUUGUGCCAAGGAGAACAGCUUCAAUAAGAAGGGGAUGAACGCGUACACGUAGACCAGUACCGAUUGACGUCGUAUAAUCGAAACUUAUUAGUCGAACGCGAUAUAGUCCAUCGUUCUAUAUGUACAUAUAUACAUAUAUCUGAAAUUCUCUACUCUUUCACUUUGAUGAAAUUAAUCGUUCGCUCUGCUUCCCUUUUUUUUUUUUUUUAUAGAGCUAGUUAUUUACAAGGUCGUUCACGUGGAGGAAUAUAAUUUUAUUUUUUCAACAUUUUUUUCAAGCGUCGUUCACAGCAUUCUAUUUGAUCGGCGUGUCGGCAUCAAAAUGAUUUUCGCAACGACCGAGAGUCGAUUUCACGCGAACGACUGGUCGACGUUCGCGCUACAAAUUUGCGUUUUGAUAACGGUCGGGUUGCGAGGGUGUCAGAGUCGAAAUGGGUCAGAAAAAAAAUCGCGAAAAAACUGAUAAAAUACAUAUACGCAAAAUUGAAAAACUCACACGCACAAACUUAUACAGCGGCGAAAUCGACCAGUAGAGGUUUAAAAAUAAAUACGACGCGACUGGGGAAAUUUUCGAUAAUGCUUUUGGCGUUUGUCGUAAAUAACGUAGCGCUGCCGCGUCUGGUGACACACAAAAACGGCCAGGCGAAAAAUUCUCUAUCCCGGCAAACCCUCGUGUAACCGGUCGCGACUCGGUUGACGGAUACAGUAUGUGGCGUUUAAAUGAUUCUCACGCGCGCGAUACGGAUCGCGCCUGUUCGACCACCCUCCUGCAUCGCUAUUCAGCUUAGUGAUUUAUAUAGAAACGCCGAAUGAAAGAGAGGGACGAACAGAUUAUAUUGAACGACGAUGGUUCACGUGGAAUUUAUCUAGAGUGUAUGGGACAGCACGUACGUACACGUGUCAUCUAGCAUCGGCGGGAACUGUGUUGGUGCAUGUACCACGACACGCGUCCAGCCAUUCGUAGGUGAUAGAGAAUCGCGAGUUCGCUUGUUAUUAUGCUAUGCGCGGUGUGAUUUCCAAUAUGUUGCGAGCGACGACCGUCAUAGCGACCCGUUUCGACCUUCGAUGCCCAAAUGACUGGCCCAGUGGCUAAGAGAAGAGUGCUCGUUCGAUCUGUCGCGUUAAUGGCCAAUACGCGACACAUUUCCGAUUGGUUCGACCUCGUUCGCCGCGUGGCAUCGAUGGAAUUCGUACUCGUUGUCACGUAUAACCAGAUGGAUGCGUACGUGUGUGUAAAUACUGGCGAAUUGUGUAGCGACGGUCAACGAUAACGUCGUUAAACGGAUAUUAACUUCGCUGAAUAACUGUCUGCGACGUGUGAUCAGCUCGAAAAUAUUGUACAUUUAUUUGUAUCAUUGACGAAGAUGUUUCGAUGAGGGUAGCUUUAAAGGUGACGUAGUAUCUACGAGGAAGUCGUUUCUAAAGAUUUUUAUUGGAAAUGCGUUGCAGAAUUUGUUAGAUUAAAGACACCAAGGGAAGGAGGAAAGGAGAUGAUAGAAAGGGACGAAGUCAAGGUAGAACACGAAGGUAACGUAAGAUCGAAGUUUAAGUGGUUCUUGACUCGAGAGCGAGAAAGAGAUUGCCACAUGCUCCGACAACGUGACUCUGGUAAACUGGUAAUACUGAUGCAAGUGUAAUACCUAAUAGCAGCCCGAAGCGGUGUCGGGGCCAACUCCUUCUAAGUGAAUUAACUCUGAGUUAAUCUCGAGUUAAGUAAACCCCUAAGUAGACCUCGAGUGUCUUCCGUUCUUCCUUUCCUGCGAAGCCCGCUUCGUCUAGCCUCGUCUAGCCUUCCAUUGCUCGAGCGUAUGUAGCCGAAGUACCGUGUGAUCGUUAACGAUUAGAAUCUUUCGAGCCCUCCGCGUGAUUACUAGUCACGCUAACUCCUUGGGAUCUUUCCGUUUUACUCGCCUACCAUAUCCCUCAUCCAAUGAAAUAAACGUUACGCCAAACUAAACCAACGAAAUACAUACUAACCCGUUUAAUGAACACACUUUACAAGAUUUCUCUGAAUUUACCUGAUUCGCGGAUAAAUUCACUGAUUCAUCGCAUUUUUAAUCUUCCCUCUGUUCAUUAAGAUUAACCAUAGAACGUCCCGACGACCGGCCAUCGUUAUACUCAGCAACCCUCUUUUCUCCAUCGGGUACAGACGCAUAUUAAUCACCGCGCGACCACACUCCGCUCUCGCGUCAUUUUUCCUCCGUUUCGAGAUUUUUCCUUUUUCGCGUCUGACAGCAUGGGGGCGGAGCGAAACCGCGUUACCGUUAUUUUUUGCGCCAUUUUUCACUCGCUCGUUUCUCGCACCCUCCUUUACCGCCUCUACCCAGCCACUCCGUCCAGUAUAUGUGGACGUUGUUCCCGUGCAGUUUCGCUUGUCGCCGUUUCGAACACGAUAUUUAUACAACGAAUGGAAAACGUUGAUCAACGUCGUUGACGUACCGUCGAUUCGGUUGCAGAUCGUGCAGGUUUCGUUGACAACGAACCAAGUCGUAAAGAACGGCUCGCCUGCCACGAAACCCAGACGUUUGCAUCCAUGUCUGCAGUUUUUCAUUCUUGAUGCUCCUUCCACGGAUGUUUCUUCCGGAUGUUUGCUUCUCUCGCGUUCACCAGGACGAAGAAAGGUCUCGCGCUUCGACGAGGAAACGUUCGAGAGUGCUCGCGGAAACGUUCCACACCGCUAUAUGCGUAAUUGUUACCAAGUUCAUUUACAUCGCAUUAAUGCCCAAGCAAAAUUGCUGCACUCGCACGCUAACGGACCGAUCGUUAAAUACAGCUGCCGUUUAAUCGGCUUGCACGGUAUUACGCCGGGUGUGUGCAACAAAAUUAUAAUCUGCCGGCCUCGUUGUAUAUUCCGGCGACUAUUAAUCGUCUACCGAAUAUGGUUAAUAAGCAUACUCGAUGCGCGCCGAUCUAUCGAUUAUUAGGCGUUGCUUCGAAGGUGUGGAGAGGCGCGGCCGAAACACUGGUAUUUGGAGUUGCUCGAUUAUCGUACUCUGCCGGAAAGAAUAUAUCAGUGGAUUGCAUCAUUUCAAUGUAUUAAAGUUUUAUUUUUCUGGCGUCAAAUACACAGUACGGUAGAAGCCUAUUUAUCCGAAUCAAAAUUGGACGAUAAAGGAUUUUGAAUCGCUUCUACCGAGUCGAAGAAUUUACCUCAAUUACUUUGGAAAUAAAGAUCAUCGUUAUGUGUUUGCUAUUAACACUGAACUAGUAACGAAUUUAGUAGAUGAUUCCCAUGAUCGUGCAAUAAGAUUCCACUAAUUCUCCACUAUCAUCUAUGAUGUUUUAUUCACACGAUAGCAGUAUCGUUACCAGAAAAUAAGCGAUGGACCAAUGUGAAUAAUGCACGAGGGCUUGAGAGAAAGAGGCGGGUACAGAGAGACAUGGCGUGUCAGGGUGGAGAGCGACAGGAACCUAAUGAAAUUACGAUGUUACUUGCCUGAAAGACACUAUUCAGAGGAGGGUACAAAGACAGCCAAAGCGGUAAAGUCGGUGUUUGUGUCGCAAGCUGCUCGACCACGUACAUACACGUACGAAGACAUAGGGCGAGACGCGUGCAUGAGGGGAAAGUACACGCGCGUCUGUGCGUGUGUGUGUAUUAUACGGUAGCAGCCGUUGACGCAGAACCGUACAGGUGCACGCGAGAUACGAUGCUUGCAUGUGCAUGUAGGUAUAGGUAGGCGUAGGCGUGCAUGCGCUGAGAUGCGUUUCUGCUCUUUCCCCAUAGAAAGAGCUGAUGCUCGCAAAGCAGCGGAAAAAGAGCUUUGUGAAAAGCGCAAUUGACGGGCUUUCUAUUAGUAGACGAGGAAAUAUCGGCAGAGGAAAAGAGAGAUGAGACGAGGUGAGAAAGAGAGAGGGGACCAUCGAUGGAAGACCGGUUGGGGCUAGACUUUUAUGGAAUGGACGAGGAGAAAGAGCGCGAGAGACAGAGAUCGAACACGGAAGGUGAAAUAAAAAACAGAACGAAAAAAGAAAAUAACGAACGAAAGGAAGAGAAAACGGAGAGAAGGAGUGGGGGAGAAAGGGAAAAGCAAACGACCCUCCGUUUUACUUUCCUUCUCUUCUUCUUCUUUUUUUUCUCUUCUUUUCUUUCGGCCUUUUUCCAUUUUUACAUUAAGCGACUAAAUUUCCAUGUGUGCCCGGCUACGUUGAAUAUUCGCCCGGAAAGCCGUCCGAUCGGUUCGCAUCCUUUGAUGUGCCGCGGCUUUUUUUGUUGUACACCGACUGAAAACACGAAUCGAUUUUGCGCUGAUUCGCGCCGAGGUGUAGAGCUACCACCUCUCUUUACCUUCCACCAUCUGCUCCAUUUCCAUUCCCUGUUCCUCCAUCCGUCCUUUCGUUACCAGGUUUUCCCGAGGAUCGUCAACCAGACGCAGCUUGCAACCGUCAGUUACAAACGACAGCCAGCGAAGGUUUCGCAGUGAAAACAUAAAAGCUCCACGACCUUCCUCGUGCAUUGCAAAAUGUCUUUUAACCUUUAAGCGGCGCACGCGUUUGCGUAUAUCGAUCGGCCAUCACGGGAAACUCCAUUAAUAAAUCGUAUUUACGAAGAAAGAAAAAAAAGGAAAGAUAGAACGCGGGCCGCUUUGACACCGGGUGUUUGCGAUCACGACGAUGUUCUUUUUCUAUUUUCGCCCUCCGUCGCUACGCGAACCAUCCGAAAAUUAAUAGCUCGGUCCGGUGCCGUCUGGUUGUACCGGAUAUGGAAUAUUGCGCGCAAGAUUCAACGAGUAGCCCGAUUGACGUUGGUUACACAUCCUCCCAACUGUAUCCUGGCGCCUGUUUCUCAUUCCACGCAUACACGUUCAUUGUUUGUCGAGUGGAAGGCAUGAGAUUCAAACGGAAAUCAGUACACGAAUCAUGACCAAAGUUCGACGUUCUCCAUCGUUUGUCCCGAAAGCAUCGGGCCACGGAACAAUGCGACAACAUCCUAUAAUUAUGUUAAGUACGCCACUGGAACACGGCAACUGUAUAGUAUGGCAACUAAACUAGCACCACCAAUAAUCGUGCACUUGGUUUGCUCAGAUUCCCUCUUGUAGACGGUGAAGAGGGUGGGGAUGGAGUGCAUAUUACGAGCCAGCCUAUAACAUAACGUUGUUACGAAGCAUCGCGACCGACCAUCUCUGUAGUGAUCAGACACUAACUAACCACAUUUCGAUAGCGCUCGCGCGUGCCUAUACUCGUGAACGCGAGUAUAAACGCGUGUGCAAGUAUUUAUCGUCGGUACAAUGGAAAACGUAAACACAUAUCGAGGAACGAAGGUAAUAAAUCUUAUCGGUAAAAUGAA